UAAACUAAAAAAAUUAAAACAUAAGUAAAUAAUUCUCCCCCCCCCCCCCGGUACUUCCCUUCCCAAACUCUUACAACCCGUCUGUAACGGCCCCGGAAAUUUAAAAUGGAAUGUAUAUUAAAAAUAUCAAAUGCGGAAGCGAAGUCAAAAUUCGAUUAACAUCCCUUACACUAAAACAAAAAACGUGCUCAAAAUAUAAAAGAUCGAACUGACUAAAAGAGAGAUUCGAAAGUAAACUAUGAAUAUGACUUUGGAGUCUUUAGGCGUCCCCUUCGUCGUCUUCUUGCGGAACGGGCUCGGGAACAAUGUCUUCCUGAUCUGAAAUGAUUAAAUAAGGAAUGAGCUACACUAGCCCAGUAAGGACAUCACGAUAUCUCACCAUCACGGAGAUAAAGGUGGGUAGAAAACACAAAAAGACCAAUAGAGCAUAAUUUACAAUAAACUCAUUUAUCAGUAAUAAAACCCUUUACCAUUCACUUACUUCGGUGAAAUUCAUAAAACAAUAUACGAAAGCAAUAACAUUAUCAUAAUCAUGAAAUCAUAUAAACUGUGUAACAUAAUACUCAUCACGCCCUUGCAAUUCAAUCAUUUCACAAUUACUUUUCCUCAUUCACCAGCCUACUAGUAUCCAUGGGGAUCCAUAGGGGUCCCGCUACCCGUUACCCUUAAUACUUGUAAUCAGAUUUCCAGGGUCGUCCCCAUACCCCGUCCGGUAUGGGCGCCAAAACUGUAAACCUCAAUACCCCGUCCGGUAUGAGGGUGAAACGGGCCGUCCCCAUACCCCGUCCGGUAUGGGUGCCGAACACAUAAGAUCUCCAUACCCCGUCCGGUAUGAGAGACCACAAUCCCGGUAGGGUCCCCUACGGACCCGGUCCGUCCACCAUCUCUCAGGAUAUCUAGUCAGGCUGACCACAUUAUACAAUUACCUAUUUACAUAAUCUAUCAUUCUCUUUUCCCUCAGUCAGUAUCCUCAAUCCACAUACAAACAAACAAAAUAGUAAUUUAUGCCAAACAGACAACAUACAACAUCAAUAUCCCGGUCAUUCAAUCCAUAAUCAAUAAAACAGUAAAAUAUGCACACGAAACUAUAAAAUGAAAACAUCGAACUUCAUGCUGCAUUUAAAACUGUAAAACAGGCCAAAUAACAGUUAACCGACAAACACACUGGACUCGGUCUCCAUUAGCGACCUUAAGCAGUUUCACACACUCGUUGAUUCAUGAAAUACCAUUUUAUCAUUUAUUGAACUUUAAAACUGUGAUAGGAAAUAGGGUGAGGGGUCCUUACUCGUUUCGGGGUCCGAACACGGCUUCACAGUGCGCCUACAGACUUUCCCUAAUUUUUCCUGAAUUUUUCUCGGGGAACUGAAACGUACUACUGGUACCUGCACGUGUUUCAAAAAAAUCCCAAAUUAGGCCCAAGGCCCAUUUUGGCCCAAAUCGCAACUCCGGCACGGCGGCAGUUUGCCUCGGGUUGGUCGUUUUCGGCCGAAUUCGGCCACACUCGCAUUGGUUCCUGUGAUAAAACAACCCUACGGCCCUCGGGGGGCCGAAAAUUUACGAAAAAUCGAAGCUUACCGGCGGCGGUGCUCUCGGGUGUGGCGGCUCUCCGGUGAAGUUCGUGUUUUAGUGAUUCGGCUCCGAUCAACCUGUAGAGAAAAGAAUGGUGAUCACGGUGAUAUAAAAAUUGCAUUAAACGGAGGCCGGGAAGGGCCUCAUCAGAGGCAAAAAUUAAGAAGGGGCGCGGCGGCGCCGCUGGCUUUCGGCCGUGUUUUUCGGCCGUUUGGCCGGGAUUUUGGCUCCGAUUUGGCCACUGGAGAAAUCAGCGUGGAAAAACGAGUCGGGGGUAUGAAAUUUACCUCGAUCGGCGGUCAGAAAUCUCUCCGGUGCGGCGGCGGGUGGUGGCGGCCGGCUUCUGGUUCGUCUUCUCCGGCGAGCGACAGGCGGCUAGGGUUUGUGGUCUGGUGUGGGGGUUCUAUUUAUAACCCUUUGCCCUUUUGAUCUCAGCCAUCCAUUUUAUUUUAAUCUGCGCCGUCCGUUUUUGAUUAAAUCUGGGCCGUCCGAUCGCACGCUUGAUCUGGACCGUCCGAUCGCGCCUACGUGGAUCGCCAACGUGGUCCGUUUCGGAACGACGUGGUCUUGCCACGUGGCAGGUCCCGGUUGGCCGGGACUGCUGACCAGGCCUGCUGACGUGGCUGCUGACGUGGUUUUUUUUUUCGGCCCUUUUUCCGAGUGCUACAACUCUCCCCCCCUUAAAGAAAUUUGGUCCCCAAAUUUGGCUCAUUACUCUUGAUCAAACAGAUGGGGAUAUUGGGCCCUAAAUUCUGAUUCCAGUUCCCAAGUCGCCUCCCUGGGCGUGUGGUUCUGCCACAUGACUUUUACAAAUGAUAUUUCCCGGUUGCGGAGUAUUCUGCUUUCUCGGUCCGUGAUACUGACUGGUACUUCUUCAUAAGUCAAGUCCUCUCGGAGUGGAAGCGGUUCAUGAGCCAAGACAUGAGAAGGGUCUGGAUUGUACUUACGUAGCAUAGAUACAUGGAACACAUUAUGAACCCAUGAGAGCUCAGGAGGCAGUGCAAGUCUGUAGGCAGUGGUACCAAUCUUAUCUAAGAUCUCAAAGGGUCCAAUAUAUCUGGGGUUUAAUUUUCCCCUCCUGCCGAACCUACUAAUUCCUUUGAAGGGGGUGACUUUAAGAAACACCCGGUCGCUUUUCUCAAAGGCCAGGUCUCUCCUCCGGGUAUCAGCAUAACUCUUCUGCCUACUCUGAGCUGUCUGGAUGUUCUUCUUGAUUUUAACUAUCUUGGACGUGGUUUCUUCUACCAAAUCCGGACCGAACAAUCUUCUAUCGCCCAUUUCUUCCCAACAGAUCGGUGACCUGCACGGGUGCCCGUAUAGCGCCUCAUAUGGGGCCAUGCCGAUGCUUGCUUGGUAACUGUUGUUGUAAGCAAACUCUAUCAGGGGUAGGUGGUCGUCCCAAUGGCCCCCGGAGUCAAGGACACAAGCUCGGAGCAUAUCCUCCAGCGUACGAAUUGUCCUUUCUGAUUGUCCAUCGGUUUGGGGGUGGAAAGCAGUACUAAGUGACAGCUUUGUUCCCAUAGCUUGUUGGAAACUAUUCCAAAACCGAGAAGUGAAUCUGGGAUCCCUGUCGGAUACCACUGUUACUGGAACUCCAUGCAGUCUGACUACCUCCCGGAUAUACAUUCUUGCCAACUUGUCCAAAGGAUCAGUCAUUCUGAUGGCCAGGAAGUGGGAAGACUUAGUGAGUCGGUCAACAAUUACCCAUAUAGUAUCAUGUCCCGAUCGUGCCUUGGGUAGUCCCGAUACGAAGUCCAUGGUGAUAUGUUCCCACUUCCACUCUGGAAUCGGUAAAGGCUGAAGUAACUCGCCCGGGCGUUGGUGUUCUACUUUGACCUGCUGGCAUACCAAGCACUUAGAUACAAAGUCGGCUAUAUCUCUCUUCAUCCCAUUCCACCAGAAACGAGGUCGCAUAGUUUGGUACAUUUUCAUACUUCCUGGAUGCAUGGCGAACCUUGAACUAUGGGACUCUGUCAUGAUGUCUCUUUUUAACUCACUGUCGUCUGGAACACACACUCUGUCCUUGAAACGAAUCAAUCCGUCGGCAGAGAUCUGAAAUUCUGAGCUCACUCCCUGUUCUGCCUUCUUCUUGCGGGUUACUAGGGCGGGGUCGACUGACUGAGCUUCUUUUAUUCUUUGGAUUAACUCGAGUUGGACUGCUAGGUGGCCCAAACAUGUGAUUCUCUUCAGGUCUCGUAGGCGAACCUGCUGUGUGGCCCCAAUGGACCUACAUUUUGAAACCAUCAGAUGGGCUAGGGUGUCUGCACUUUUCCUGCUGAGGGCAUCGGCCACCACGUUGCCCUUACCUGGAUGGUAUAGGAUGUCACAAUCAUAGUCAUUGAGGAGUUCCAUCCACCUUCUCUGACGCAUGUUGAGAUCCUUCUGAGUGAAGAUAUGCUUCAAACUUUUAUGAUCGGUGUAGAUCUGAAAGGUCUCUCCAUACAAAUAAUGGCGCCAGGUUUUCAAGGCGUGUAUGAUUGCGGCAAGCUCCAAGUCAUGGGUAGGAUAGUUCUUCUCAUGAUUCUUUAGUUGUCUAGACCCAUAUGCUAUAACCUUUCCAUGCUGCAUUAGGACACAACCCAGGCCCAGAUAGGAGGCAUCACUAUAAACUGUGUACCCUCCUGAUCCACUCAGUAGAGCCAGCACUGGUGCAGUAGUCAGUCGCUUCUUCAACUCUGAAAAACUCCUCUCGCAGUUCUCAUUCCAUUCAAACCUUCCAUUCUUCUUUGUGAGUCGGGUCAGAGGAGCUGCUAGACUAGAGAACCCCUCGACAAACCGGCGGUAAUAACCUGCCAUCCCUAGGAAACUGCGAAUUUCCUUAACUGUCGUCAGCCUUUCCCAACCAAGUACCGCUUCAACCUUUUCGGGGUUCACCGACACCCCUUCCUUCGAUAUAACAUGUCCUAGGAAGGCGGUUUGUUCGAGCCAAAAUCCACACUUGUUCAACUUCGCAUACAACUUCUUUUCCCUGAGUACCUGUAGGACUUGGGCAAGAUGAUGAGCAUGUUCUUCCCUACUUUUUGAGUAGACUAAGAUAUCAUCGAUGAACACGAUGACAAAUUGAUCCAAGAAUUCUCUGAAGAUUCUGUCCAUUAGAUCCAUAAAGAUGGUCGGGGCGUUGGUUAGCCCAAACGGCAUAACCAGGAACUCAUAGUGUCCGUACCUGGUUCGGAAUGCCGUCUUGGGGAUGUCUUCGGCUCUCACUUUUACCUGAUGGUAACCUGAUCGUAGAUCUAUUUUGAAAAAGACCUGUGCACCCUGCAACUGAUCGAAAAGGUCAUCAAUCCGGGGAAGAGGGUACUUGUUCUUAAUUGUUACCUUGUUUAUCCUUCUAUAAUCAAUGCACAGUCUCAGUGUUCCAUCCCCUUUCUUUGCAAAAGUAACCCCGGCACCCCAUGGGGAAAUGUUGUGUCUAAUGAAGCCACUGUUUUGUAGCUCAGUGAUUUGUUUCCUUAGCUCUUCCAUCUCGAUGCGACUCAUUCGGUAAGGAGCUACCGAGAUGGGCUGGGUUCCUGGCUGUAAGUCUAUAGUGAACUCGACCUCUCUGUCCCCUGGUAGACCGGGCAGUUCAUCCAGAAAUACGUCUGGAAAGUCUCGGACUACUGGAAUCUCUUGGAUACAGACUUCUUUCUUGGGUUUACCUAGUUAGAGAAAAUACAAUAUUAAGGCACUGGGAAUUUAGAAGAAAAGAAUUUGCCAUUAGGGGAAAUCAGUACCGAAUAAUUUUUUUUUUAUUAACUUGUAAAUGGCUCCUCGUUGGGAGGAUUAAAUACAAUCUUUUUGUUAAAGCAGUCUAUGGUGGCGUGAUACACCGCUAGCCAAUCCAUUCCUAGGAUUACAUCAAAAUCCCCUGUGUCUAACCCUAUCAGGUCUACCCUCAAUUUUCUAUCUGCUAUCUCCACGGCACAUGCCCUGUAAACAACCUCUCCUAGCAAUGUUUCCCCCCCCCAGCGGUAGAUACAAGCAAAAAUGAAUUAAGUCUAUCAGGUGAUAUACAAAUUUUGGAAGCAAGAACAUGUGAAAUAAAAGAAUGUGAUGCACCAGUAUCAAACAAAACAUGAGCAAUGUUGCCAGAGAUAGUAUACAUACCAUGUACCACAUCCGGGUCUGCGUCGGCAUCCUUCUGGGUAAGGUUGUAAACUCUGCCCUGGAUUGGAGGCCUCCCUUGAUUCUGGUUCCUAGGGCACUCCCUCGCAUAGUGCUAGGCGCUGCCGCAUAUGCGACAGGUGUUGUUGAGGCGGUAGCAGGGUCGGUCCCCAUGAUCCCUGCCGCAGUACUGGCAGAUCUUCCCACGUACUGCCCCCAUAGCCUGAGGAGGGGCAUGGACGGCAGGCCUGGGCCUCUUACUGGGCUGGACAGGCAUGGUAGGCGCUGGCCUGCGGAGCGGGGCUGAAGGUCGGGAACUUCCCGCUAGCUGAGGGCGAGUGUCGAAGCUCCUUUCUAUGAUUUGCGCCUUUGCCAGGACUGCCGAAUAUGUCUCGAGCUCCAUCACCAAUAAGUGCCGUCUGAUCGCCGGGCGGAGACCCCACUGGAAUUUUCUGGCCUUUCGGCCCUCAUCCAACAAUGUCUCCGGGGCAUGUCGGCCCAGCUCCAGGAACUUGCGGGCAUACUCCGACACUGUCAUAUUUUCCUGGACCAAUUGAGCAAAUUCCAUUUCCUUUAAAUGUUGGAUGUGUUUAAGGAGAUACUCCGCAUGGAAGGCCGCUAGGAACUGCUCCCAAGUAACUGGUACAGGCAGGGUGGCCCGCUUGAGCUCCCACCAGCGUACUGCCUCCCCUACCAGCAUGUAGGAGGCAAUGGUAGCCCUCUGCUCAGGAACUACUUCCAAGGUCUCGAAAGCUCUCUCAGUCUCUGCCAGCCAGUAUUGGGCCUCUUCGAAAGAGGAUCCCCCUAAAAAAGUAGAAGGGUUCAGUCUUCUGUACCUCUCUAUGAAGCCGGGGUCGAUCAAGGAGGAAGCGGGGUCCCGAGGUAGAGGGACUGGGACCGGCUGAGGGUGAACUGGGGGACCCUGUGGUGGUGCCUGCUGAUGUGGUGGGGGCACUGGAAUGUGCUGUGGCGGCACCUGUUGGUACUGUGGCUGUGGUACCGGGUCGUACCGCGGCUGUGGUGCCGGGUGGUACUGUGGAGGAACAGGCUCCUGCCGGGGUGGCUCGGGAUCAGCCUGCUGUAGCGGGGGCUCAAUCUGCGCUAGCGGAGGAGGUCCGGGUAACUUCCUUCUCUCCUCUUGCCUUCGCUGGGCAACUACGAGGGCUUCCACCAUCUCAUAUAAUCUGUCUAAAUCCUCCCGAAGCGAAUUAUCUUGGGCCGCUCGGUUUAGUGGGGGCCUUCCUCUCCUCAUUUCUGUGUACCUGCAUUCACAAGGAAUGGUUGAGUAACGACCAAUCGGUGAGUAUUUCUUUAAAGGACUCUAGUGUAAGGGAUGGGUCCGAGGAAACGCGGCUCUGAUACCAACUGUAACGGCCCCGAAAUUUAAAAUGGAAUGUAUAUUAAAAAUAUCAAAUGCGGAAGCGAAGUCAAAAUUCGAUUAACAUCCCUUACACUAAAACCAAAAACGUGCUCAAAAUAUAAAAGAUCGAACUGACUCAAAGAGAGAUUCGAAAGUAAACUAUGAAUAUGACUUGGAGUCUUUAGGCGUCCCCUUCGUCGUCUUCUUGCGGAACGGGCUCGGGAACAAUGUCUUCCUGAUCUGAAAUGAUUAAAUAAGGAAUGAGCUACACUAGCCCAGUAAGAACAUCACGAUAUCUCAUCGUCACGGAGAUAAAGGUGGGUAGAAAACACAAAAAGACCAAUGGAGCAUAAUUUACAAUAAACUCAUUUAUCAGUAAUAAAACCCUUUACCAUUCACUUACCUCGGUGAAAUUCAUAAAACAAUAUACGAAAGCAAUAACAUUAUCAUAAUCAUGAAAUCAUAUAAACUGUGUAACAUAAUACUCAUCACGCCCUUGUAAUUCAAUCAUUUCACAAUUACUUUUCCUCAUUCACCAGCCUACUAGUAUCCAUGGGGAUCCAUAGGGGUCCCGCUACCCGUUACCAUUAAUACUUGUAAUCAGAUUUCCAGGGUCGUCCCCAUAUCCCGUUCGGUAUGGGCGCCAAAACUGUAAACCUCAAUACCCCGUCCGGUAUGAGGGUGAAACGGGCCGUCCCCAUACCCCGUCCGGUAUGGGCGCCGAACACAUAAGAUCUCCAUACCCCGUCCGGUAUGAGAGACCACAAUCCCGGUAGGGUCCCCUACGGACCCGGUCCGUCCACCAUCUCUCAGGAUAUCUAGUCAGGCUGACCACAUUAUACAAUUACUCAUUUACAUAAUCUAUCAUUCUCUUUUCUCUCAGUCAGUAUCAUCAAUCCACAUACAAACAAACAAAACAGUAAUUUAUGCCAAACAGACAACAUACAGCAUCAAUAUCCCGGUCAUUCAAUCCAUAAUCAAUAAAACAGUAAAAUAUGCACACGAAACUAUAAAAUGAAAACAUCGAACUUCAUACUGCAUUUAAAACUGUAAAACAGGCCAAAUAACAGUUAACCGACAAACACACUGGACUCGGUCUCCAUUAGCGACCUUAAGCAGUUUCACACACUCGUUGAUUCAUGAAAUACCAUUUUAUCAUUUAUUGAACUUUAAAACCGUGAUAGGAAAUAGGGUGAGGGGUCCUUACUCGUUUCGGGGUCCGAACACGGCUUCACAGUGCGCCUACAGGCUGUCCUUAAUUUUUCCUGAAUUUUUUUCGGGGAACUGAAACGCACUACUGGUACCUGCACGUGUUCCAAAAAAAUCCCAAAUUAGGCCCAGGGCCCCUUUCGGCCCAAAUCGCAACUCCGGCACGGUGGCUCCGCCGUGCUCCGGCGACGGUUUGCCUCGGGUUGGCCGUUUUCGGCCACACUCGCAUUGGUUCUUGUGAUAAAACAACCCUACGGCCCUCGGGGGGCCGAAAAUUUACGGAAAACCGAAGCUUACCGGCGGCGGUGCUCUCGGGUGCGGCAGCUCUCCGGUGAAGUUCGUGUUUUGGUGAUUCGGCUCCGAUCAACCUGUAGAGAAAAGAAUGGUGAUCACGGUGAUAUAAAAAUUGUAUUAAACGGAGGCCGGGAAGGGCCUCAUCGGAUGCAAAAAUCGAGAAGGGGUGCGGCGGCGCCGCUGGCUUUCGGCCGUGUUUUCUGGCCGUUUGGCCGGGAUUUUGGCUCCGAUUUGGCCACUGGAGAAAUCAGCGUGGAAAAACGAGUCGGGGGUAUGAAAUUUACCUCGAUCAGCGGUCGAAAAUCCCUCCGGUGCGACGGUGGGUGGCGGCGGCCGGCUUCUGGUUCGUCUUCUCCGGCGAGCGGCAGACGGCUAGGGUUUGUUGUCUGGUGUGGGGGUUCUAUUUAUAACCCUUUGCCCUUUUGAUCUCAGCCGUCCAUUUUAUUUUAAUAUGGGCCGUCCGUUUUUGAUUAAAUCCGGGCCGUCCGUGCAAUUAAAUCUGGGUCAUCCGAUCGCACGCUUGAUCUGUACCGUCCGAUCGCGCCUACGUGGAUCGCCAACGUGGCCCGUUUCGGAACGACGUGGUCUUGUCACGUGACAGGUCCCGGUUGGCCGGGACUGCUGACCGGGCCUGCUGACGUGGCUCUUUUUUUUUUUUUUUUUUUUUUUUUUUCGGCCCCUUUUCCGGGCGCUACACCGUCACUGUUCCCCAGUCUCUCCAGGUUCAUUUCACGGUCCUGCACUUUCCUUCCCCCAACCUCUCACAAUCUGUCUCUGCUUCCCAGAACAGAACCGUUUUUCCAUUUUCUGCAUAUGCCUCCAUCAGAUUUCCCAUUUCCAUAACACUUCUGAAGGAAAUACAAAUACCCAGAAAAGUCUGCAUUCUACCCAACACUAUAACCCCACACUCGCCUGCAUUCCAGAAUACAAUAGGCUUCCACUUUCUGUCUAACCCUCCAUCAAAUUCUCCAUUACUAUAACCUUCAAAAAUGCAAACACGCAGAACAGAGUUACUUAAUCCAACACGCAGAUUUACUCUCACUUUCAUUUAUUUCCCACUGUUAUUUGAUUUAGACAAUUCAAAAUUUGUCGACAAUAAUAUCCCCACCAAACAGUACACACAUACACACACAACGACCUCAAGGGCCACGCGCGCACACGACUUGCAUUCUGUAUGCCAGACACGGCCCUUCCGGCCUUCCCUUUCUCGGCCACACCUUUGGCCUCUCAAACAGCAUACAUUCGGGAGAUUUACUCCCCUUCGGACCUUCUGUUUCUCGGUCCAAUCCGCAGACAGAUCAUUGGUCAGCUAAAUCACAUCACCACGACCAACACUGGCCACCCACACACCCAAGAGAAAUAACAGCGUAAUAGUAACCCAACCAUGGAUCGGUUUACACUUAAUUCCAUUUCCUAUUUAUCCUCUAAUCUUUGCCAUCUGUCCUAUCUAUUUUUUGUCAGACCACUAUUCAACCCCACCCAAAUCUCUAAACCUAACUCAUUCAUGUUCUGCCAUCAUUGUUUCACCUCUGUUAUCACUCUCAAAACAGCUUUCCCGACCUAAGCAGGUGGACUACCUGGGGGGUAUUUCAACUCAGUUUUUUUUCAUUCUUUUUUUUUUUUCCUUCUUCUUUUCAUUUUCUUACUAUUCCACUUCUCUUCAGUCACCCCCCUCUCUUCUGCACUGUCAGGAAAACAAAUAGCUUGUUUACUCUCUCUACUUGUCUCGACCCAAAAGGCCUACUCUCUCUCUCUAAAGGUUCUCGUCACCUAGCUUCUCUCGUCACCCACAACUGUCCCAAUUCUCUCAGUUGCUCCGAAUCCCCACCUUCGUAUAUAUGUUUUUAUUUUUUGGUUUUACCUCACCAACACAUAUUACAUCCGGAACCUCAUUACCCGGUUACAACGUACACACGUCAUCUAGACCAUUCACAAAUAUAGAGUUCAGCAGAAAUCACAUGCAGCCAUUUCCAUUUCCCAUCAUACCAACACACAAACAUAAGAUAUUAACACAGUACUAACUCAGUGCAUUACUUAUGCAUGUCAUCGCAGAAUUCAUGCCGGAAUUCGAUAUUCCACGGCCUCACGUUGGCCACUCUCAAUCACACGCACAGCUUCAGAGUUACCGAUUUAAAAUACUAAUAACUACAGAAUGUUGUUUUACUUAUACUGUUACAUUUUUCUCUCUUUUUUUCUUUUCUUUUCAAGUUUCUGUCUGAUUCACUCCCAAGGGAUAUACUGUUUUAAAUCUCUUACUGCUCCUUUCUAUGGAAAUUUGGGGUUUAGGUUCUUCUGUUCUUCCCCCCUGUUCCUUACCACGAAUUAUUAUAGUCACCGUCAUUCCCUGUUGUUUCAGUUCCUGAUUUAUUUAGUUUCUCUCCAACUUUUACCUACUAUAAUUUACUCAAAACGAUUUAGUAGUUAAAUUGGACCUUCAUGCUUUCGCGUCAACACUUCCUAAAGGUGAAUUCACCUUGUUAUAUUCAGAAAAUUAAUUCAACUAUUUUAAAAUUCGGGUUUAAGUUCAGCUUGAACUUACCUCUGUCUUCGAAUACAGCGUCUGCUUCCCCGCAGAAAGCUCUUCUCUGAUCGCCCCCUGUCUGGCCAUGAAGACUCCAAUCUUGUCUUCUCCUCUUUUCCUUUCCUCUCUCCUCCUCUCCUCAGCAUUCCCCUCUUCUUUACUUACAGCCCAUGAAACCCAAUCUAGACCGUUGUUUCGUUUCCUUUCAUCUGGAUUGUCCACGUAUGAAGAGCGUUAUACGGGUCUCUGCUUCAUCCGCAUCGUGUGUCUCCAUCAUUGUCGUUCUUCUGUAACAAGACAUGGUAGCCUCACCCUCCGUUUAACGUGCCUCCAUCCACACCGUUUUUCUGUAACAGACUCCUGCAUCUACCUCGCAUGAGUUAAUUCGUUGUUGUUUGAUUGUAAAUACCUCUGUUUGUCUAUCUUGCAAUUGGACCCCAUGGUUUUUCUUCCCCCCUUUAUUUCAUAAUUGUACUCUUAAUAUGUAUAAAACAAAACUUGCUGAAUGCUCAUUCCUUCUCAUUAUCUAUUCGUACUCAUUUUUUAGUUCCGG
rnacentral:lncRNA from 1 species